CCUGCAGGCUGGAACACUUCUGCAAGGAUGGUGUGAAAGCAGCACCCACUUUGGAGAAAUUCUACAAGCAACUGCCUGUAAUUCAGGGGCCAAGUUCUUGUAAUGAAGAGACAUUGGAAAGCUAUGACUUAAAAAACCAAAAUGAGCCUGGUGUAGAUGUAAAGCACUUUGGUGAGGUGGUGUUUCCAGCUGGCACAUAACCCUGCGAGGCAGCUCCUGUAUGUAACCACGUAGCAGUUGUGGAAACCAUCCUGUGGCAACCUGCUCUCCCCAGGUACCAUGCUUAAAAUGGAGUCCAGCACUCAAACCGUUCUAUGGAUCUGGACUUUGGUGACCAUUUCCCAGGAGCAGAGCGUGGCUGAAAUUGGGGCACUUCACAGCAAUUUAAACUCCAGAACAUCAAUGAAAACCUCCUGGACAAUUUCCUGCUGAAGUCGCUGAGACCCCUCCACCAUCGGGGCUUUGUGAAGGGGACCUGCCGUGUUUGGGGUGCCGUUGGCAGCACAAAGGUGAUGAGAGUAGGGCUGGGUCCCUUUUAAUCAGAGCUGUCAAGCUCUGGAUGCCCUGCUGUGCUGCUGAUCGCCCUUGUGCCCUUUUU
rnacentral:lncRNA from 1 species